CAAACCUCUCAUAAUAGUAAUCCUGUUUUGUGCACCCUGAGUGCGUUGGGUUGGUCUGCGUGUGGAGUUGCCAGUGCCAUCAUAUCCUGCUUUGAUGCGAAUAAGUUCGGAGAGGCUGGUCCUUUUCUACGAAACACUGAUCUGGAGUUGCUGGCUGCGCAAAUCGUCUCAUUUGAUGGUAAAACGCCAGCAUGGUUCUAGACGAAAAGGAGGCUUACAUUGAGGAUAAGAACAAGCAGCUCGACGGAGACAAUGUUAUCGUUGACACCAAAGAUAGAAGAAGGAUAUUCUGGAAAAUCCAGUGAUAUUUCAAUAACCUGGGGAGAGGAGCUACCAUAUCUACUAUCAGAUCAUGUCUCAGAAGAAACCAGAACUUAUUGGUGCUGACAAAGCCUCCUCCCUAAUGGAAGUCAGUUCAGCUGACCUCAUCAAGGGGCUCCUGCACCCCAGUGUGAAGGUGGGGAACGAUUACGUGGUAAAGCCCCUGUGGGAUCAUGUCCAUCCUUGAAGAUGAGUGCAUGUCACAGGAAGGCCAAAAAGAUCAUCAAGGACAACAACCACCCGAGCCUGUUCACCCCGCUACCAUCCAGAAGGCGAGGCGACAGACAACAACUUUAAAGCCAAGUUUUACGACAUCCAUAUUGGAAAGUCAGCUAACUUCCAGAAGCCACAACCUGAUAAAAAGAGCAAGUACAAGGCCCACUGAGCUGAUGCACCACACUGAAGUGAAGCCCUCCAACAAGCUGCCGGCCUGCCGAUAAUAAGAACUAUAUUGGCUCUGACUCAGACCAAAUGACUGGAGGCAAGGAGAAUAGAAAGAAGGCUGCCUCGUCCCAGUGUGUCACAGCUACGUAAGGUCUGCUGGGGCAGUUGGAGGAGAUGAGGGAUGAGCGUCUGGCUAAGGUCCUCCCGCUGCUCCAGACUGUCAGCAGAGGAUAGAGCUCCAGAAUGUGAUGGCGAGAAGGAAAGAUUUUGAAAUUAACCAGAUCACCACCAAGAUUGAAGAUGAACAAGCCUUGACCAUUCAGCUCCAGAAAAAGAUCAAAGAAUAACAGGUUCGUAUCGAGGAGCUGUAGUCUGACCGGACGUCCAUUGCCAAGGUGGAGAAGCAGCUGGGUGAUGUCAAGAUGGAGGCGAACGAUCUGGCAUUAAACGCGGAACAGCUCUCCAAGAGCAAGG